UACAGAGGGUGCAAGCGUUAAUCGGAAUCACUGGGCUUAAAGCGUUCGUAGGCGGAUCUGCAGGCGCGUUGUGAAAGCCCUCGGCUCAACCGGGGAACUGCUUCGCGAACCACAGAUCUUGAGUCAAGUAGGGGCGAUCGGAACGAUAGGUGGAGCGGUGAAAUGCGUAGAUAUCUAUCGGAACGCCGAAGGUGAAGACAGGUCGCUGGGCUUGUACUGACGCUGAGGAACGAAAGCGUGGGGAGCAAACGGG
rnacentral:rRNA from 1 species